rnacentral:misc_RNA from 1 species
UGCUGACAACUUUUACUUAUAUUUUUUUACUUUAGGUAGUUACCAUAAUUUAUACUUAUGAAACGUCCUUUGAAUCAUAAUGAAGCACUAUUUAUGUGUAAAAUUUUUCUUACUGAAAAUAUUUUUUUGCAAAAGAUAUUUUAGAUGGAAAGUAAUGGCCAUAAUUAGAAUUUUGUGUGAAAUGCUGUAUUGUAAUGGUGUAUGUUCUAUAGAUGUGUAUAAGCUGAUGUUUGUCGAAUGAUCUUAUAUUUUAGCAUAAGCAUAUAUCAUAUACCGUAUACAGUUUAAGAUGGAUUUUAUAUUGAAAUUUUGAUUGAUGCAUUUCCAAACAUAAUUCUGUAUAAUAUUUCAAUAUUUUCGAUUCCGUCUAUUAUUUGAAUAUUUGUGUAACUAAUAGAUGUAAUGUUAUAAUAAAAACUUAUGUAAUAAAGUAGAAAAAAUACCUU